rnacentral:tRNA from 1 species
GGCCUCGAAGCUUAUUUGACUAGAGCGUCGCCUUUCUAAAGCCUUUCAUUUGCGGGCGUGGGUUCGAAUCCAACCGAGGCCA